GNGAACNCUGGCGGCGUGCCNAACACAUGCAAGUCAUACGGGCUAGUGCUUCGCACUGAUAAUUUAAGGGCUCUCUCUUAAGUUACCAGUGCGGAGUACUGGCCAGUGGCGCACGGGUGAGUAACGCGUGGGAAUCUACCCGGUAGUGGGGGAUAACCCCUCGAAAGGGGGGCUAAUACCGCAUAAGUCCUACGGGGUAAAGAUGGCCUCUUAGAGGCUAUCGCUUCCGGAUGAGCCCGCGUCCUAUUAGCUAGUUGGUGAGGUAAUGGCUUACCAAGGCCACAAUGGGUAGCCGGUCUGAGAGGAUGAACGGCCACACUGGGACUGAGACACGGCCCAGACUCCUACGGGAGGCAGCAGUGGGGAAUUUUGCGCAAUGGGGGAAACCCUGACGCAGCAACGCCGCGUGGAUGAUGAAGGCCUUCGGGUCGUAAAGUCCUGUUCUGGGGGAAGAAACGGUAGCAAGCCAAUACCUUGCUAUCCUGACGGUACCCCAGCAGAAAGCUCCGGCCAAUUAUGUGCCAGCAGCCGCGGUAACACAUAAGGAGCAAGCGUUGUCCGGAAUUAUUGGGCGUAAAGAGCUCGUAGACGGUUCGGAAAGUCAGCUGUGAAAUCACCAGGCUCAACCUGGUAGGGUCAGUUGAAACUUCCGAACUUGAGGGUAGAAGAGGAAAGUGGAAUUCCCGGUGUAGCAGUGAAAUGCGUAGAUAUCGGGAGGAACACCAGUGGCGAAGGCGGCUUUCUGGUCUACCCCUGACGUUGAGGAGCGAAAGCCAGGGGAGCAAACGGGAUUAGAUACCCCGGUAGUCCUGGCCCUAAACGAUGGAUACUAGGUGUAGAAGGUAUCGACCCCUUCUGUGCCGCAGUUAACACAUUAAGUAUCCCGCCUGGGGAGUACGGUCGCAAGGCUGAAACUCAAAGGAAUUGACGGGGGCCCGCACAAGCGGUGGAGCAUGUGGUUUAAUUCGACGCAACGCGAGGAACCUUACCUGGGCUCGAACGCUUCUGGAAUCAUGCCGAAAGGUGUGAGCCGGCAACGGCCGGGAGCGAGGUGCNNCAUGGUUGUCGUCAGCUCGUGCCGUGAGGUGUCGGGUUAAGUCCCAUAACGAGCGCAACCCCUACCGCCAGUUGCCAGCGGGUAAAGCCGGGGACUCUGGCGGGACUGCCGGCGUAAGCCGAGAGGAAGGCGGGGAUGACGUCAAAUCAGCACGGCCCUUACGUCCAGGGCUACACACGUGUUACAAUGGCCGGUACAGAGGGAUGCGACCCCGCGAGGGGGAGCGGAUCCCGAAAGCCGGUCGUAGUUCGGAUCGGGGUCUGGAACCCGACCCCGUGAAGCCGGAUUCGCUAGUAAUCGCGCAUCAGCCAUGGCGCGGUGAAUACGUUCCCGGGCCUUGUACACACCGCCCGUCAAGCCAUGGGAGCCGGGGGUACCUGAAGUGCGUGGCCGCGAGGAGCGCCCUAGGGUAAGACCGGUGANGGG
rnacentral:rRNA from 1 species